AUGGUGCUGUCCAGGCAGCUGAAGGUGGUUAUGGUGUUAAUGUGGCUGGGAUCCAGUUUUGCCCAGAAGGUAGCUCAGGCACAGCCAGCCGUGUGGGUGCAGGAGAAGGAGGCUGUGAGCCUGCACUGCACCUAUGACACCAGUGCCACAAGUUAUGGUCUCCUCUGGUACAAGCAGCCCAGCAGUGGGGAGAUGGUCUUCCUCAUUCGCCAGGACUCUUACAGCCAGGAAAAUGCCACACAAGGUCGCUACUCACUGAGUUUGCAGACUGCAAGCAAAUCCAUCCAGCUUGUCAUCCCAGCCUCACAGCUGGGGGACUCAGCGGUGUAUUUCUGUGCACUGAGAGGUUGGACCCGUGGAGACUCAGUGACCCAGAUACAAGGCCAAGUGACCGUUUUAGAAGGGGUUUUGCUGAUUAUAAACUGCACUUAUACAGCCUCAAGAUACCCUGCUCUUUUCUGGUAUGUUCAAUACCCUGGAGAAAGUCUACAGCUCCUCCUGAAAGCUGUGACAGCCAACGAUAAGGUCAGCAACAAAGGUUUUGAAGCCACAUACAAUAAAGAAGCCACCUCCUUCCACUUGGAGAAAGCCUCUGUUCAAGAGUCAGACUCGGCUGUGUACUACUGUGCUCUGGGUGACACAGUGGCAGAAACUGCAGGGGGAGCUGAGCGGAAACUCUGA